rnacentral:sRNA from 1 species
GAAGAGUGGCUGGAGAAGUUGCAGGGAAUUAUUUGAUAGCACAUACUGAUGGCUCUGAAGAAGUCAUCACCCUCACUGGAUUCUGGUGAUAGUGACUCUGAGGAGUUGCCAACAUUUGCCUUUCUGAAGAAGGAACCAUCUUCAACAAAGAGGAGACAGCCUGAAAGGGAAGAGAAGAUUGUAGUGGUUGACAUCUCAGAUUGUGAAGCCUCCUGUCCUCCAGCACCAGGGUUACUUUCACCACCUGUCCCAGACAUAGCUGAAACUGUCACACAAACACAGCCAGUCAGGUUGCUAAGCAGUGGAAGUGAAGAUGAAGAAGAAUUUAUUCCUCUGGCUCAAAGGCUUAAAUUGCUUUUACAGAUGGAAGGUGGGGGCCAGCUCCUAGGAGCACUGCAGUCCAUGGAGUGCCGCUGUGUGAUUGAGGCGCAGGCUGUGCCUUGCAGUGUCACUUGGAGGAGAAGGGCUGGGCCGUCUGAGAGAGGACUGGGUGGAGGAGCCAACAGUACUGGUGUUGCUCCGGGCAGAGGCAUUUGUGUCCAUGAUCGACAAUGGAAAGCAGGGAAGCCUGGACAGCACUAUGAAAGGCAAGGAAACGCUUCAGGGCUUUGUAACUGACAUCACGGCAAGGACAGCAGGGAAAGCUCUGUCACUGGUGAUUGUGGAUCAGGAGAAAUGCUUCAGUGCUCAGAAUCCUCCAAGAAGAGGGAAACAGGGAGCAAAUAAACAGACCAAGGAGAAGCAGCAGAGACAACCAGAGGCCAGCAUAGGGUCCAUGGUAUCCAGGGUAGACGCUGAAGAGGCAUUGGUGGAUCUGCAGCUACACACAGAAGCCCAGGCUCAAAUUGUGCAGAGCUGGAAAGAGCUAGCCGACUUCACAUGCGCAUUCACAAAGGCUGUGGCUGAGGUGCCCUUCAAGUGAGUAACCCCAGCAAGUCCAGCCUCCACGCUGGGCCUUGUCCUUUACCAUGGCUCUUGCAGUCAAAGCAAAUGUCCCUUUCCCCUCAUCUCUGCAGUCAGCCCAUUGUCUCUCAAGCUUGAGGCAGAAGGAGCUGACCUCACACUGGAGAUUCUUGAGAAGAGUCCUCAAGCCUAGCCCCUUUUCAAAUAUUCUCCUUUCGCCUAUAUGUAAGUAUGUGUUCUGCAGGCUGAUAUCAUAGGCCAGGUUACCAUAGGCCAAGUUACCAGGAUUAAUUACAGGUCAGAUCACAAUGUAACAAGCACUAGGAAAGCAAAUUUUUAGCCUACUCAGUUCAAGAAGUGUUCAUUGUCAGAAUUUAAAAUAAGUAAAUGACCUCAGAGAUAAUCCAGUCCCUUAUUUUAUACUUGAGGGGACUGAGGCCUGAAGAGAUUGACUUGUCUAAGCUCCUAGCAGUUAGAAGAACCAGAAAUAGAUUCCAGAUUGCCAAAUAUCCAAAGAAUCUGGUAUCUUUUCUUCUACUAAAAUGGACUAGAUGUAGUUUUUAAAUGAAUCAGCAACUGGCCCUAUACCUGGGAACAAAGUGAGCACUCAAAUUGUCAAAGGCACAAAAA